rnacentral:rRNA from 1 species
UACAGAGGAUGCAAGCGUUAUCCGGAAUGAUUGGGCGUAAAGCGUCUGUAGGUGGCUUUUUAAGUCCGCCGUCAAAUCCCAGGGCUCAACCCUGGACAGGCAGUGGAAACUAACAAGCUGGAGUACGGUAGGGGCAGAGGGAAUUUUCGGUGGAGCGGUGAAAUGCAUUGAGAUCGGAAAGAACACCAACGACAAAAGCACUCUGCUGGGCCGACACUGACACUAAGAGACGAAAGCUAGGGGAGCAAAUGGG